GGGGACGACAUGGCUUCGACGCUGGUGGCGAACCCUUGAGUGCAUGUCGAGAUGGCAGCGAAUCUCGUUAAUCCAAAGCUGCAACGCAAUAGUCGCAAACGACGAAAACUACGCACUAGCAGCGUAAGCUGCUAGUCGUCCUGACCGGGUCGCCCGUAGCCCGGAAGCAACAUCUCAGGACGUCAUCGCUUACGGGAUGCUCCGUUACUCAGAGCUCACUGAUUAACGGCUAAGAUUUAAAGAGAUCGUCUCUUGCACCCUGACCUUCGGGUCGCUUGAGAUUAAAUAAAUAGAAGGACGCUAAGCAUGUAGAUCCUCAAGGCUGAGUACUGGCGGACGCGGGUUCAAUUCCCGCCGUCUCCACCA
rnacentral:tmRNA from 1 species